UUUUCUCUUUCUGUCCAUAUAUAAUAAAUGGAUAUGUACAAACUAAUGGAAUAGUAGAAGAUAUAUAAAGGUAUAAUUGAUAAAAAUGUUCAAAAUUAUGAAAUUAAAAAAUGAAAAAAAUAAAAUAAAAACAUAACCUAAUAAACUAUGACUUUGUAAAAUAUAAAUACUCUAAUUAAAUGACGUUGAACAUUUAAUGAGAGGAGAAUAAAUUAACG
rnacentral:lncRNA from 1 species